GUCAACAACUUGAGCACCCUGAAUGCACCUGAUCUUGGAACCUAAGCAGGGUCGGGCCUGGUUAGCACUUGGAUGGGAGAAGUUGUGGAUG
rnacentral:rRNA from 1 species